rnacentral:sRNA from 1 species
UUCAAGCAAGGUGAGAAGGCCUACUCUAGAGUGCUCAACAAGGCGACGCCUUUGCAAAUCUGGAUUGACGCUAACAGAGACGAGGUGACAUUCGUCCCAGACACAGCUCAAGGACAAGCCUGUGUGGACUCUAUUCUUGAGAUUAGUCCUAUCUAUUCCCUGUACAAAAUCUACCCUGACCCGAACAAAGAACAUUUUGA